UCUUAGAAAUGUCUUUAUUUUUCAAAGUAAAGCACUGUUUUUUCAAUAAAGAUAACAUUAAUCAUAAAUACCCACUAUACAUUGUUAAUGUGGUAAAUGACUAUUCUAGGUGGAAGUGUCUGGUUUCUAAUGAAAUAUCUCCAGAGGUGUAAAGAGGCCCAUUUCCAUCAACUAUCACUCCAGUGUUCUAAUGGUACAUUGUGUUUGCUAAUCGCCUUAGAAGACUAAUAUCUGAUUAGAAAACCCUUGUGCAAUUAUGUUAGCACAGCUGAAAACAGUUAUGCUGGUCAUAUAAGCUAUACAACUGGCCUUCCUUUGAGCUUGAAGUUUGAAGAACAAAAUUAAUACUUCAAAUAUUAAUCAUUAUUUCUAACCUUGUCAAUGUCUUGACUAUAUUUUCUAUUCAUUUGAUAAAUAAAAGUGUGAUUUUUCAUGGAAGACACAAAAUUGUCUGGGUGACCCCAAACUUUUGAACGGUAGUGUAAUAUAUAUAUACAUAUUUAUCAAUUAUAUUAUUUUGUGAAAAUAGUUAAUUAUUUUUUAUAUAUUUUGUGUUAAUAUUAGCUUAUUGUUCCUUUUUAUUCCUCUUUGAGUUUCAUGAGUUUGUUUCAUUCAGUCCUAGAGUUAUGACGUCAUGCACGUGGAGCAUCUGAAAGUAUCAUCACUUACAAAAACAUCCUUCAUUAAUAUGACACAUUGACUUGUCUGGUGCGCGCGUGCACGUGUAAAUUGUGACGUCAUUGUGUACAUUAGGCUUAAGCUAUUUCGAGAAAAAUACCAAAUAUUUAAACGUUAAACAUGAAAUGUCGAAAUAAAUAUACGGUUAAAGGGACGAACUAUUGAAGAUAGAAGGCUACAAAUCAGAGUGCCUGCACAUAAAGAUAAUAUAACAACAAUAAAAUUAAAAUAAAGUAAAGACACGUGUCCACAGCUCCUGAUUUAGAGUCCCGUCAAACAUACUGCGCCGCGUUCACGGACGUCUGAACAUGCUGUAAAUUAAAGUCACUUCUGAUUGUUGUUGCGGGGCUGCAGAGGAGUCCCGGUCCGGGACCUGGGAGGAGCUGGGCGAGGGGAGGGGGGGGGGGGGGGGGGCUCUUUAAGGAGCGCAUUCUCUUCGGGGCUAUAAAGACGUCGCGACAGCUUCGAGGACGCGCGGACAAAUUAACUCCAUUUGGAGAAUUAUUGCGCGCGACGGCGAUUAGUUUAUUUCUUCUUCUUCUUCUUGAGGGCUGUCUUCCUCUCUCUCAUGGUGAGCUGCUGAUCGGCCGGUGAGGAUGAUGGAGUACAUGGAGGAUAAGUUUGCGUUGAAGAGCCAAACGAUGAAGGCCAGCGACUACUACCUGGACCAGGUCAUGGAGAGCCUGGACGGCGCGCACUACUUCAGCAAGGCGACCCCCAAAUGCGGCGCGGCCUUCGGGCUGCAGGGCGCCGAGCACCGCUCCUCUCCCCACGGAGACCCGCACGCUAACUACGGUGUGCCAAAGACGGACGAGGACCCUGUGCACGCGGACCUCGGCAGCGGCUGUUGCGCCGUGCGCGCGUCCCCGGUGACGUCCGGCCAGGACAAGCCGGACCUGGACGACAUGGGGGACAAGUGCGACAGCAACGUGUCCAGCAGCAAGAAGAGGAGACACCGGACCACGUUCACCAGCGCGCAGCUGGAGGAGCUGGAGAAAGUGUUCCAGAAGACUCACUACCCAGAUGUGUACGUGAGGGAACAGCUGGCCAUGAGGACGGAACUCACGGAGGCCAGAGUGCAGGUGUGGUUUCAGAACAGAAGAGCCAAGUGGAGGAAGCGAGAGCGCUACGGCCAGAUCCAACAAGCCAAGACUCACUUCGCCGCCACCUACGACCUGUCGGUGCUGCCGCGGACCGACGGCUACACGCAGAUCCCCAACAACCUGUGGCCGGGCGCGGCCCCCGGGGGCCCCGUGGUCUCCUCCUGCAUGUUGCCCCGGGGCUCGCCGCCCUGCGUCGCCUCCUACUCGCACUCCCCGCGCUCGGCCGCCGCCGCCGCCGCCGAGCACGGCUACGUGGGCUUCCCCAACCAGCAGAACCAGUUCGGCCACGUGUCCCUCAACAACUUCUUCGGCGCUGACUCCCUCCUGGCGCCGGGCGCCGCCGCCGGCCAUCACCACCACCACGCCUUCGAGGCCAAGCCCGAGUUCGAGAGGCGCUCGUCCAGCAUCGCCGUGCUGCGCAUGAAGGCCAAAGAGCACGCCGCCAACAUCUCGUGGGCCAUGUGAUCCGGAGAGAACGAAGGAAUAGAGAUAUAUUUAAAUGUGUUGGAGCCCGGCGGCUGAGACCCGCGUCACACGCAACCCCUGGACCCAGAACCUCCCUGACUCGCGCCGGGCCAGGAACGUGUCAGGAUGAGGUCCAGUGCAAAGUAGACCGCCAUGACGCUGCGUGGCAGGAGGCGGAGCUCCAGUCAGGUGGCCUGGAUGUUAUCAUUCAAAGACACUUCAAGCUUUAAUGACAACUGGCGACGGCGGGAACACGAGGCGGCCCUGCUGCGGUACGGGACAUUUUGAGAACACCGAGUUCCCGGCUGUCGCUUUAAGACAGUCUCAACCUUCAUGUCGCCCAACUGACGCGAUGCGUUCAAAGUCAUUGGGACUUUCGGGGUCUGAUCCAGGGCGUUGCUCCGCAGCCCACAGUCCUCUCCUGGUCGGACCAGAUGGUCGAUUAACCCCUCGUGAUCUGAGGAGGUGAGAGCUGUGCUUUCAUUGUCGUCGUUGUUGUUUUUUAACGGAGGUUGGGGGAGUCCUCCAUGAGACAGAAAGAGAGUGAGAUGGAGGUGAAGAGGGGAAAACACCCUCCAGGCUCCGGGGGGGAUCUGAUCCCAGGGUGGUGUACGUGUGGAUCCAGAGGGAGGGGUCCUAAACCACGACAGACAUUUCUUAGUACUGUGAAUAAGCUUUCUUUACCCCCCCCCCCCUCCACCUCCUCCACCUCUCCAGCUCAGGACUGAAGAUGAACUCUCUCUGCUGUCGGCCUCCGUUGUGUCUCACAGGUCUGCGACGCGGCCAGAGGAGGCAGGUUUUAAAAACAUUAGGUUCCUCGAUGUUCUGACUCCACGAGAUCCCGAAAGCUCUUAAGGGACCCGGGUCUGCAGCCAGGAGGAGGUCUUUGAGGAGGUCC